rnacentral:lncRNA from 1 species
AGCCGCGGCUCGGAGGAUGAGCUGGUGGCGGUGGCUGCAGCUGCUGCGGCGGCACUGACAGGACACGAGCUCUAUGCCUUUCCGGCUACUCAUCCCGCUCGGCCUCGUGUGCGUGCUGCUACCCCUGCACCAUGGUGCGCCAGGCCCCGACGGCACCGCGCCCGACCCCGCCCACUACAGGUGAAGGGGGCCAGGCUCCCGCUCUCUACGGCUGGGGAGUGGCAAGCGCCCACCGGGUCCCUUCCCUUCCCUCCACCCCAGGACCCCCACCCUGACGUGCUCUGGUCCCGCUGCUGGGCCCUCGGCAGAAAUCAUUUUGUGGUUCCCAUUCUCCGUCCUGUGUCUGGUCCUUUCUCCCGCCUGGUUUUGUGUUCUGGCCCCCUACCUUAUUUCUCAUCCCUCGAACCAGGGAGCGAGUCAAGGCCAUGUUCUACCACGCCUACGACAGUUACCUGGAAAAUGCCUUUCCCUACGAUGAGCUGAGACCUCUCACCUGUGAUGGGCACGACACCUGGGGCAGGUAGAGCCAGCUUGAGGGCCAAGGGGGUUGGCCGGGAUCAUAGGAGGGCUGGUGGCUUCAUGGUCUCACUGAUUGUGGAAAGUUUCCGACCUGGGCUGAUUCAACCCCGUCCCCUCAGUCCAAACCAGCGCUGUCAGAACUACACAGCUUUUCACAGUACAAAAAAGUCUUGGCUUAACUUGGCAGGCUAGCCCUCUGGACUCACCUCAGCCGAACAGGCAACCACGUAUGAGGACUUGGGGACAUUUCUGGAGUCACAAAAUAUUUUGAAAAAACUCCCGGGAGUCAGGAAACUCAACUCCUUCAUUUUAUAGGUGGGCGCACAGGCCCAGGAGGAACGUUAUUCUCCCCACAGUUAAGACCCUUUGUAGUUGGUGUACUCUUUAUGACUGAAAAAUAUUUCCCGUCUAGCUUCAUACCAACUCCUCUCACCGCCAUACAUACAAGUCACCUGAUUCAUUUUCGUUUAGUAAUUCUGUGUUACCAUAUCAUCUUUUCAUUUUCACUGGAAUAAAGAACCCAGUCGAGCAAAGAAUCAUUGCAUUAGCCAAAACUGACACUAGGGCUGUAAUCCUGAGUUGGUUUUUGUUUUGUUUUGUUUUGCUUCGUUUUUAUAGAAUGAUUUAUUGAUUUAGUGCGCACUGGCUGUUUGCCUGUAUCUAUAACCAUGUGAGGGUGUCAGGUUCCCUGGAACUUGAACUACAGACAGUGUGAGGUGCCCUGUGGGUAUGAGAUGAUCAACCAGUGCUCUCAACCACUGAGCCAUCUCUCCAGUUGCUGAGGUCUUUUAUUUCUUGCUUGCUUGCUUGUUUGAGAUAGGUCUCACAUAGCUCAGGCUGGCCUCAGACUUACCACAUCGCCAACAAUGACCAUGAACUUGGGGUGCUCCUGCCUCUCCUUCCCAGGUGCUGGAUUGCAGGUGCUCCCUCUCACCCCUGCCUCAUUAUCCUCGUACUACAAAUAUUUAUACGUGAUAGCAUGCUCUCUGAUGCCAGGGGCUAGGCAAGUAAGCUAGGAACGUGUGCCAAUUUUUAUUUCUUAGUUGGAACAGAAAGCAAGUGCAAACACAUGGCUCACUGAGCAGGAUAGAGUCAUGCUUGCUGAGUAUCUCAUUCCUUAGGUCUACAACCUGUGUAUGUCCUGUAGAUCAUUGUAGAAUGUUCUCAGUUUAUACAAUUACACAGGUGUGCAUAUACGUGUUAUGUGUUUAUUGAGACAGGAUCUUGCUAUAUGGCCCAGACUAGUUUUAAACUCUCAGGCCUUCUGAAUCCCUAUCAUCCCCCCACCCCCCGUGCUGGGACUGCAGGCAUAUCUCACACCUGGCUACUGUGUAUCUUUGU